AGGCACAUAUGCUGUCCCAGAGGACCCAGAUCCUGGUGGCGCGAGGAUCCUGGCGGAGGUGCUCUGGAGAGGACCCUGCAAGAGAUAAGCUGUUCGCUGCCCACAAGGAUUGGAAGUUGCCUUUGGCAGGAAUAGAGCGGGAUGUAGAAUCUAUAGCCAGCAUCCACAGCGCUGCUCUGUCAGAUUCUCUCCCUCUGGUCUUCACUUCUCCAGCGGAGGCUGCAUCCCAUCUGUUUUGCUCAAAUAGCCUUGUGAACUGACCCUGGGUUGCGUUGAGUUUGAUUGCGAAUGAUGUGUGAGCUCCUGAUCAAACAGAUGUUCAAGUCCUCCAGGACCCUCUGGCAGCUGCAUCAUCCAGCAUCUCCUUACACCUGCUGCAGCAAGAUGUCUCAGUGCACCUCUGCCCUUGGAGCCACGGCCAGGACCCACCCGUUGCAGAGAUAGGAGGCAGUUGGUUUAAACAUAUCAUUUUUAAAAUUUAUUUACUUUUAUAUUAAAAUAUACUUGAUGUACAGUGUUGUGCCAAUUUCUGCUAUAUAGCAAAGUGACACAGUCAUAUAUUAUUUUUCUUAUAUCAUCUGCUGUCAUGUGCUAUCCCGAGAGAGUGGAUAGUUUCUUAUGCUAUAUAGCAGGACCUCAUUGCUUAUCCAUUCUAAGUAUAAUAGUUGGCAUCUACUAACCCCAAACUCCCAGUUCAUGCCACUCCCUCCCCCACCCCAUGCCCCCAGGCCACCCCAAGUCUGUUCUCUAGGUCUGUGAGUCUGUUUCUGCUCUGCAGAUAAGUUCCUUUGUGCCGUAUUUUAGCUUCCACAUCUCAGUGAUAUCAUGUGGUCUUUGUCUUUUUCUGACUUACUUCACCUAAUGUGAGAAUCUCUAGGAUGCAGCUAAACAUAUCAUUUUGACCACCCUCCUCUCAAAACUUCAUGGGUGCUGCUAAUGCCCUGUGUUCACUUCUUUGAGGUGAAACUUUGCCCCUGGCUACGCAGGACAUGUGGGCUCCCCUUGAAGGGUAAACCACGAAGCUGUUGUUACUCGUAACAUGGAAAUCUAUCAUGAAGUUUGAGCAAAGAGCAGAACAAGCAGGUCAUAGAGCUGUUUUCUGAUGCAGUGAGGUUGAGAUGUAUGUCUGUGAAGUUAGUCGAACGAGGGGGGUCGGAGAGAUACCGGGAUUUCAAGAAAAGUGCUGAGGGCUCUGACCUGUACAGAAGCAAAGAAAAGGAAAACUUACUUUCAGAGAGGUGGCCGAUUUCUCUACUGGGGGAAGGUUUCCCUGAAUACUUUGCCUUGGUUUUUAGACUUCCAUUUCGCUACAGAUGUUUUUUUUUUUUUUCCUUGAAUUGGACUCUCACAAGGGUGACCAACAUGCAAAAGAGAAAAAAGUGAAGCUUCUCUGAUUGGGAGACACAAAAGCCCAAGGGCCUUUGCCAAAAAUCCUAAGCUGAAAACCUCCAAAGCCUUCUGAUGCUUUGGUUACUUUCCUCCAUGUUCAGAUGGAAAAGUCUCUGUUAAAAUCUUAACCUCCUUUGCCAGAGAGAGAACGCCCAUACAUUAUCUAAGCCUCUGGAGGUUUCUGAGCUUGGCUGGCUGAGAUGUUUUUCAUACCCUGAACUUGCUCAAUGAAGCAAGCUCUGAUUUAUCUUCCAAAUGCAAGGUAAGCAUCAUCUCCAGAAAUCUUGCUCUCAAGGGAGUUCCCCGGUGGCCUAGCAGUUAAGGAUCCAGCAUUGUCAGCACUGUGGCUCCACUUUGACCCCUGGCUUAGGAACAUCUGUAUGCUGUAGGAACAGCCAAAUAUACACAGAUCUUGCAAUCUUAUUCCCAACCUGCAGUCUUAUUUAAACAGGUGCAUUUCUUCUUUGCUCUUACAGCACCGCUGUGUAUGAUCUCACCAGUGACACCUGUGACAUCUGAUUGUGAUCAUUGUUCCUCAUGUCUGUUUCCACCCUGGACUAUGGGUUUCUUGAAAUGAAGGACAAUAAAUACCUUGUUUGAUUUGAUGUUUUUGGCACGUAAAGCCCUGCUUGUUUCAUUACUGCUUCUCAAUCCCUUCUCAAGUUUUGCUAAGGAAAUAAAUGAAUGAACA
rnacentral:lncRNA from 1 species